rnacentral:rRNA from 1 species
CGCGUGAGGGAGGAGGCUCUUGGGUUGUAAACCUCUUUUCUCAGGGAAGAACAGAAUGACGGUACCUGAGGAAUAAGCAUCGGCUAACUCCGUGCCAGCAGCCGCGGUAAUACGGAGGAUGCAAGCGUUAUCCGGAAUGAUUGGGCGUAAAGGGUCCGCAGGUGGCAUUGUAAGUCUGCUGUUAAAGAGUUUGGCUCAACCAAAUAAGAGCAGUGGAAACUACAAAGCUAGAGUGUGGUCGGGGCAGAGGGAAUUCCUGGUGUAGCGGUGAAAUGCGUAGAUAUCAGGAAGAACACCAGUGGCGAAGGCGCUCUGCUAGGCCGAGACUGACACUGAGGGACGAAAGCUAGGGGAGCGAAAGGGAUU